rnacentral:rRNA from 1 species
ACGUAGGGGGCGAGCGUUAUCCGGAAUUAUUGGGCGUAAAGCGUGCGUAGGUGGGUUUUUAAGUGUGUGGUGAAAGGCCGGAGCUUAACUCUGGUAUGGGAUGGAAACUGGGAUACUUGAGUAUAGGAGAGGAAAGCGGAAUUCCCAGUGUAGCGGUGAAAUGCGUAGAUAUGAGGAGGAACACCAGUGGCGAAGGCGGCUUUCUGGACUAUAUCUGACACUGAGGCGCGAAAGCCAGGGGAGCAAACAG